GGGGGUGCAUUGGCUUCGACGGGGGUCGCAAAGUUGUCUGGCGCAUGCCGAGGGGGCAGCUUUCCUCGUUAAUCCAGCGGCAAAACUCAUAGUUGCCAACGACGACAACUACGCACUGGCCGCUUAAGGCCUAAGCCCCGAACCCAUCUUGUGUCCGUGCUCGUGGGUGUAGGGUCAUUAUCACGGAAUCGCCGGGGGUGGCUGCCUGUCAGCUCCUGGUCAACACAAAGCAGGCUGGUCCCGGGAUGCGCUUCGCACACCGUGCUGUUCCGGGACGAGACUCAACGGUGAGCUAAGCAUGUAGUGCUGGAAGCGGAGUGCCUUCGGAC
rnacentral:tmRNA from 1 species